GCAGUCUGCAACUCGACUGCAUGAAGCUGGAAUCGCUAGUAAUCGCGAAUCAGCAUGUCGCGGUGAAUACGUUCCCGGGUCUUGUACACACCGCCCGUCACACCAUGGGAGUCGGAAAUGCCCGAAGCCAGUGACCCAACCUUUAAGGAGGGAGCUGUCGAAGGCAGGUCUGGUAACUGGGGUGAAGUCGUAACAAGGUAUC
rnacentral:rRNA from 1 species